AUUUGCUGGAAAGGCAUAUGGACAAAUAGGACAAGGAUUGCCCGUGGCUGCUUCCUUUUUAGCUAUUGUUAUGGGGCUAAACCUGUUAGAGGUAAUAGAGUUGCAACUUCCCUCAUUUUUUGACAACUUUGAUCCUCGCUCAGCCGCUGCUAGCUUUCCGUCCAGUGUUCAAGCUUAUUUGGCCGGUCUUACAUUUGCAUUAGCUGCAUCACCAUGCAGUACACCAGUCCUCGCAACCUUGCUCGGCUAUGUUGCUACUUCUCGGGAUCCAGUUAUUGGGGGCAGCUUGCUAUUGACAUACACAACUGGCUAUGUUACUCCCUUACUUCUUGCUGCUUCUUUUGCUGG
rnacentral:misc_RNA from 1 species